rnacentral:rRNA from 1 species
CCCUUAGAUGUUCUGGGCUGCACGCGUGCUACACUGAUAUUGCCAAUAUGUCAUUCUUAUCCGAAAUGGAUUGGGUAAUCAAGUAAUGAAAUUUCAUGCUUGGAAUCGGUAAUUGCAAUUUUAUCGUGAACGAGGAAUUCCUAGUAAGCACUAGUCAUCAGCUAAUGUUGAUUAUGUCCCUGCCCUUUGUACACACCGCCCGUCGCUACUACUGAUUGGGUGUUCAAGUGAGAUGCUUAGACCCUUGUUGCACGGUUCAUUAUUGUGCUCCGAAAGGAAAAAGUUUCAAGCUUGAGUGUCUAGAGGAAGUAAAAGUCGUAACA